AGGCGGGGCAGAAGAGAAGACUCCACACAUACGAGGCACAGCAGGGAACUCCGAGACAGGAGCUGAGGUCCUCCGGUUUGCAGACGACCCUGUGAGUCUGUGGCCUGUGUCGUUGGCAUUAUUUCCAGGUAUGACUGCAUUUGAAGAAAACACCCCAAGCGAAGUCAUGAAGAGUCCCAGGAAGUGCACACACCAGGCAUUCCCUCCCAGCUGAAGAUCUGCGGAAGAAAAGGGAGGCUGUCUGGCAUCCAGAGCGGGUGGAGUCAUGACAAAGGUUCCUGACAGCAGCUGAAGCCUUUGGAGAGUGAUUCGGCCAAUCUCUGGGGACCUGUUAGGGAGGAACAAGGAAAAGGACUGCCCUGACCACAUUCUCUUCCCACUCUUCAUUCCCACAGGUGCUUCCCCGUGGCCAGACCCAAAUGAAAGCCAGAGGGCAAGGAAUAGAUUGAUGUAGAUUCAGGGGUGGGCUGGUAAAUAAA